rnacentral:rRNA from 1 species
AUGGAGUACGGAUCACCCAACAAGCCGUCGUUUCCGAUAGUGGGGAAGUUGGACGACUCGUCAUUGCCGGCGGUGAUAACAAGACACGGGAUACCCAGAAGCGCCCUAACUGAUUUCUUACACAUCAAGGCAGCGUUGCAGAGGCAGACAGGCGUGCUCAUCGACAGGGCAUACGAUGAUAUUGUGCUUCGGGCUUUCGUUUACCUUGUAUGCUCGUCAGACCGAAGUAUGGAUUUGGAGAUCAAGACAAGCACGCGCGAUAUCUUUAGCCGCUAUUGUGGCCCCGUCCCGCGGUGGUUCAAGGAGAGGGUAGAUGAGACGGUUGAUGAUGGUAGGACGAGUGAUUUCGACCGCGCUGUGUCGGCGUUGGCGCGGCGGAUAUGCGCGCCUCUAGGAAACCUCGCGGUUCUACUCUCAAAUGAAGAAAUAGAAGGCCAGUAUGAACAAAUUCGGCAAUUGUCUACAAUUGCAGAUGUCAUCCAAAGUUUAUGGGCCGCUCUGAGGAUGCCACCCAAGGAUGAGUUUUUGGAGCCCGGAUCAGACUUCAUUGACUUUCUGUUUCCGACAGUGGUAAUGCAGUGGCGUUGCAGAAGCGCUCUAAUUGUUUACUCGCGCAUCAAGAAAGAGCUGCAGAGGCAGGUGAGCGAGCUCAUCGACAGGGAAGACAAUAGUGACGAGCUUCGGAUUUUCAUUUAUGGUGUACGCUCAGGAUCCUCCGUGAGUAUGGAGGAUGCAAUCAGGACAAGUGCACACGAUAUCUUCAGCCGCUAUUUUGGCUGCAUCCCGCAGUGGUACAAGGCCAAGGAAGCUGAGAAGCGUGAUGAGACCGAAGAUGAGAUGGAUGAUGACAUGGAAGAUAUGAACCUCAACGUGUCCCUGUUCUGCGAGGAGGUAGAAGAGCUCCUAGUUCUGUUCUCAGUGGGAAAAGGAGAAGACAGAAGUCCACAAAUACAACAAUUGAUUUGGAUUGCACAUCACAUCAAGGAUUUCAAGCGCUAUCUGGAAAAAGUGGGUUCGAUGCCAGUGGAGGAGGAGGAGGACAUCAUGGCAGAAGGGAAGGAAACUGAGGGAGAAGCGGUGGUCAGCCGCACAAAGGUGAGGAGCUUGGAGGAGAAACAGGAGGAGGAGAUGAGCUUGGUGAAGAAACAUGAGGAGGAGGAGGAGGAGCGGUCGGAGAGGGCAGGGGAGGAGAUGAGCUUUGUGAAGAAACAUGAGGAGGAGGAGGAGGAGGAGGAGCAGUCCAAGAGGGCAGGGAAGGAGAUGACCGAUGAAACAUGCGGAGAGGAGGUAGGUCACUCGGAGAGGGCAAGGGAGGAGUAG